CCAGUAUGUAAAUGUGUAAUAGAAGCCAAAUAUGGAGCAGUUGGCUGCCGCCGCCACAGCUCAAGGAUCCGACUUCAUGGGGGGGGGGGGGCACCCUCUGGCAGGCGGCCCGGCGAGCCGCACAGAGCACGGCGAGCGCACGGCGCGGCUGCCGGCCCGCGCCCUUAACCCUUCUGUGCACCCGGCCGGAGCAGCGGUCCCUCCCUCCAGGGGAGGCCCGGUGCCUCUCCCUAACUGCGGCUCCGGAUCCCGGACAUCGGCCCGUGGGGACUGUGCCUUCCAGGAACUAUUCUGGUGAUUUGGAAAAAAAAAAAGAAGAAGAAGAAGAAGAAGAGAAAGCAAACAGAAGUGUGGCGGCACCCCAGUAGCAAAGCAAUGGUGUGGGUGUUGUUUCCAUUACUUAUA
rnacentral:lncRNA from 1 species